CUACUCUGGGGCAUAUGGAACUCCUGGGCCAGGGAUCAGAUCUGAGCCCCAGUCAGGACCCAAGCCACAGCUGUGGCAAUGCCGGAUCCUUCACCCUCUGUGCCAGGCCGGGGAUCAAACCUGCCUCCCAGUACUCCCAAGAUCCCGCCUAUCCUGUUGUGCUACAGUGGGAACUCCAGCACUUCUUAUUUCUGAUUUUUGGUUUGUUUUGGGGGUUUUUUUUGGCUAUAUAUAAUUGGCAAGCAUCUUUUCCCUUCCAGUGGGUUGCCUCUCCACUCUGUCGAUGCUGUGCUUUAACACACAGUGAUGUUUUAUUCUUUGGUGGUAAUCCAAUAUACACGCAGCCUCUCACCUCGCCCUGGCCAGGUUUUCAGUCUGCAAGUUCAGCCAUCCUCUGUGCCCACAGCCCCAUCCAGAGAACACAUCGCCUGCCCUGUAGUGGGGACGGCGGCCCUGGGGCCAGUGCACAGCCGCCCAGGUGCCUGGAGGAUGUCUCACCUUCCUGGGUCUCUGGAGAGAGACCUACUGGGGGUGGGGGAGGGAGAAGGGAGGGAAGGAGCGGGGAGGGAGAGAGAGACUGAUUUAUUUUCAGGAAUUGUCUCUCAAGGUUGUGGGAUGGCAGGGCUGUCCAGCCAGCUGGGGACGUGAGGAAGAGCUUGGGUCCAGGGGUGGCUCGCCGGCAGGACCCGUCUUCCUGGGGACCGUCCCCACCCUGGAUGGGACCCACCCAUAUGACAAGGGUCACCUGUUUUCCCGAGAGUCUGGAUUUAAAGGCCAAUCACAUCUAGAAGACCCUUCACACCUGCCCAUGCGUCAUUCACGGCAGCCAAGAGCUGGAAGCAGCCCGCACGUCUACGGAUUAAUGGGGACUCAAAAUGCGGUCUAGCCACGCAAUGAAACGCUUUCAACUGAAGAAAGAGUGUCCGCGCCUGCUGCCUGCUCCACGGGAUGGACCUAGAGGACUUGGGCUGAGGGAAACAGGCUGGGCACAAACGGACAAAUAUUGCCUGAUGACACUUGCAAAAGGUCCCUGGAAGCCUCAGAUCCAUGGACAGAAGGGAGAGGGGCGGGUGUCAGGCUGGGGUGAGUGUUUAGUGGGGAGAGUUUCAGUCUGGGAAGGUGAGAAAGUUCUGGACAUCCGCCCAAUAACAAGGCACAUAGAGGUUCUGCUGCACUUAAAACAGUUAAGAUGACUAAUUUUAUGUGAUGUGCUCUGUCCCAGAAAUAGUCAGAACAGAACAAAGAGUGUGGUUCACGAUAGAUGGUCAGCGUAUGUUCGUGCCCUUCUCUGAGGAGUUUUAUGCUAAUUUCAGUGCCGCAGUCGUGCACGUUUGGAAAAGUUCAUGUUCAUAGCAGCACCUGGCCGAGUGUUUGAGCCCACGCCUGGCUCGCAGCCUGGCUGAUGCCAGGUAAAGGUGGCCCCCGGGCCCCCACGCCUCCGGGCGGUCCCCCGCCAGCUCUCCUCUUCCCGCAUGCUCUGGAUGCAGAGGCGUGACUAGCGCCGUUGAAAUGGUUUGAGGAUUUUUGAGGGAAAGGGUGGGACGGUCUCUUGUCACCAUCACAAGCCUGAAGCUGAGGCUGGGAGCAGCCAGGAUGAAGGCAGGGCUCCCAGAGCUGCUUCUCUGUCCCAGGCGCUGGCCUGGUGCCCGCUGGAGCCGUUCUGUCCCCGUCAGCACAAAUCCUGUGGCCUCAGCAGCUGUCCUAGGCCUGGGGGGGAGGCAUCCUCGCCGUCUCCAUAUUCUGGCAGCUGGGCUGGCCGGGCGGGGGCCACCUCACCUGCUCAGACUCAUCAGGCGGUCACAGGGCAAGUGUGUGUGUGUGUGCAUGCGCGUGUGUGUUUGAGCACACGUGUGCAGGGAUGCGUGUGCUGCUGCGGUGUCUUGUUGCUAAAGAGCCCGCCCAGGGGGCUCCCUGAGGAGCCAGCUUUGCUGUUCUGAGUGGAAGGAGGCCAGGUUUCCCUGAGAAACACCAGAAUAGCCCCUGACCGCCCACGGGGAACCUGGCAUGGCCUCCCUGUGGUCAGCAUGGCCCUCUGGUCCUGUCUGCUCCGGCCCCAGCUCACGGCCGGCUGGCUUCUCCUUGGACCGUACGGGGGUGGGGAUGGGGGGGCCGCAGAGGGGGCCUGGAUGAACCGGCUUUAGAGGGUGCCUGCAGAGUGCCAGCCCCCUGCCGGGCCCUGGGGGGUGAGGGGUCGCCAGGCCAUGGGCCAUUUGACGGGAACUCUCACAGAGGUGGCUACAGACUGUGGGGCUCCCACUGCAGGAUGGUGGGAGAAGGCUGAUGUGGCGAAAAGGGAACAGCCCCUUCCCCACCCUGGGCCCCGGUGUCCCCCCUCGCUGCCGCCCAGGAGGGCCUUGGCUGGGACCCGGGGUGGGAGAGGGAGCCCUGGGGUGAGGGGCCGCUCAGGCCAAGGAAGGCAGGAAGGGCCAGCUCCCAAAAUAGAGCCGACAGGAGCUCCUGCCCAUACAAGGCUCCUGGAAUCUGGACCCCAGGGACCCCAGGCCCCCGGCUCGGCUGAAACUCGGCUGCCCCCGCUGCCCCUGUAGUCUGCCCACAGCACCUCCGGGGGCCCCGUGCAGUGUCCUCUCAGCUGGCCGCAGACAUGGUAAGGCUGCUCCUGGUGCCCCGCAGAGCCCCCAGGGAGCUGGCCGGGGGGUCGAGCAGGAGCUGGGGCUGCGCCUGAUGGUCUGAGGGUCCCUCUGGGAACCUAAGGAAGAUGCCGAGCGGAGCUGGACAGAGAGCACGGGGUAGGGGGGCCCAUGGCCCAGCCCUGCCAGCACAGAUGCCGGGCCUGCUCUGGGGGCCAGGGCAGAAGAGCCCUUUCCUAAGCUGCCUUGGAAGUGGGCGGGCAGGGGUGGCCAGGUGCUGGGUCGCCCCUCGGGGAUGCUGGGGCCCUGGAAGCCCGCACCGCCCCUCACCUGGGCUCGCUGUCCACUGCAGCCCUCCUGCUGGCCUGGCCCCAUCUCGGGCCCCUUCCAUGCUCAAGAGCCACCACUUGGGCCGCCCGGUCUGAAGCCUGCUGUGGGCUGGGGCAGGGUGCACGUGCCCCUUGUCCCGGGGCCUCCCGCCUCCCCUGGCCGGAGGGCAGAGGGGCCCCUGGUGAGCCUGGGCCCGUGUCCCCACAGACAGAGCGCCUGACGGCGGAGCAGAUCAAGGACUACAGGGGCGUCUUUGAGAUGUUUGAUGAGGAGGGCAACGGGCAGGUGAAGACGGGAGAGCUGGUGUGGCUCAUGGGCCUACUGGGCAUCAACCCCACCAAGAGCGAGCUGGCCUCCAUGGCCAAGGACAUGGACCGGGUCAGUGAGGCCGGCCGGGGCAGCCCUGGGCGUGGGGGGGGGUGCUGUGCCACCCUCACCCAGGCCUUGCUGCCUGCUCCCUGCAGAGAAAGGCUUCUUCAGCUACGACAGCUUCCUGGCCCUGAUGGGCGUGUCCCGGGAGAAGGCGCAGAACCAGGAGCAUGAGCUCAGGGUGGCCUUCCGCGUUUUCGACAAGGAAGGCAAGGGCUGCAUCCUGCAUCGACUGGGACAUGCUCAAGAAGGGCCGGGCCGUCGGGGUGGGUCGGGGGCGGGCGCCCCCCGGCGGCCACUCAGCGCGGGGCUGCGGCAGGUCCGUGCUCAUGAACGCCGGGGAGCCCCUCAAGGAGGUGGAGGCCGAGCAGAUGACGAAGGAGGCGGACAAGGGUGGGGACGGGACCAUCAACUACGAGGGUGAGUGACGGCCGGGCCCCAGGAGCCGGUCCCUCUGCUCUCAGAGUUCGAGGCGAUGAUGACGGGGGAGUCCUUCAAGCUGGUCCAGUAGGAGCAGCCGCCGCGUCCGGGGGAGGCCUGCCUGGAGGAAGGCUGCUUGCUGCUCGCAUCCGCCCCCAGCCCACUCCAGGGUGAAUAAAUGCUCCAGCCAUAACAUGUGCCUCGGUGUCCUCGUCGGGACGGCAAAGAUGUGGGGCUGGAGGUGGGAGAGGGUCUCCCAGGGCCAGCCCGUCCCUUCUGUGGGACAGCAGACAGCAGCGGGAGGGCCAGGCUGGGUGCAGGCUGAGGACCAUGCACCCGCCCGCCUCCCUGCCGCCGGAGGAGGCUGCCCGAGGGCCCCUCCCCGAGCCCCUUCCUCUGUGUGGAGACCACUUAGGUACCAACUUUAUUCUCUCCCCAAAAAGCAGCGGACGUCACAGCAGACCCUUAGCCCUGUGGCGCCUUCUCUGGGCUGAGGCUGGGCCGGGGGCCAGGGCUGAGCGUAGCAGCCUGUGCGCGCGCGCUUGUGGCCAACACAGGGCUGGCUGGCUCGGCUGCCCAGCGUCACACAGCAACGAGGCCAGGGCUGCAGCACUGUGCUGGAUGGUGGCCUUCCUGGGGGAAGGAUGGUGGGGGUGGGUUGGGGGUCCCCAGCUC
ensembl:lncRNA